UACGGAGGGGGCGAGCGUUAUUCGGAAUUAUUGGGCGUAAAGGGCGCGUAGGCGGCUUGACAAGUCAAAGGUGAAAUCCCUCGGCUCAACUGAGGAACUGCCUUUGAAACUGUCUGGCUUGAGUCCGGGAGGGGGUAGCGGAAUUCCCAGUGUAGCGGUGAAAUGCGUAGAUAUUGGGAGGAACACCAGUGGCGAAGGCGGCUACCUUGACCGGAACUGAUGCUGAUGCGCGAAAGCGUGGGUAGCAAACAGG
rnacentral:rRNA from 1 species